GUGCCAGCCGCCGCGGUAAUACAGAGGGUGCAAGCGUUGUUCGGAAUUACUGGGCGUAAAGCGCGUGUAGGCUGCAAUGUAAGUCGGAUGUGAAAGCCCUUGGCUCAACCAAGGAAGUGCAUCCGAUACUGCGUCGCUUGAGUGUCGGAGGGGUCGGCGGAAUUCCCGGUGUAGAGGUGAAAUUCGUAGAUAUCGGGAGGAACACCUGUGGCGAAGGCGGCCGACUGGACGAUAACUGACGCUGAGACGCGAAAGCGUGGGUAGCAAACAGGAUUAGAUACCCCUGUAGUCC
rnacentral:rRNA from 1 species